rnacentral:sRNA from 2 species
GCUUAGUCCGGUUGGUGAUUUGUGAUUUUUGGCGAUUGAUCAAAUCACACAAUCCGGACUGAGUUCAA